CGGUAUCUAACCAGAAAGCCACGGCUAACUACGUGCCAGCAGCCGCGGUAAUACUAGGGUGGCAAGCGUUGUCCUCGGGAUUUAUUGGGCGGUAAAGCGAGCGCCAAUCGGUGUUUCUUAAGUCUGAUGUGAAAGGUCCCCCGGGCCUCAACCCGGGGGGAGGGUCAUUGCGAAACUGGGAAGAGCUUGACUUGAGUGCUCAAGAGGAGAGUGGAAAAUUUCCAUGUGGUAGCCGGGUGAAAUGCGGUAUAGAUAUAUUGGGGAGGAACACCCAGGUGGCCAAAGGGCGGCUGCUCUCUGGUCUGUAAGACUCUGACGCUGAGGCUCGAAAGGCCGUGGGGAGCACAAGACAGGAUUAGAUACCCUGGUAGUCCACGCCGUAAACGAUGAUGCUAAGUGUUGGAGCGUUUCCGCCCUUCAGUCUGCACCAAACGCAUUAAGCACUCCGCCUGGGGAGUACGACCGCAAGGUUGAAACUCCAAGGAAUUGACGGGGGCCCGCACAAUCGGUGGAGCAUGUGGUAUAAUUCUAACUACCCUGAAGAACCUUACCAGGUCUUGACUCCUUUUGACCACUCUACAGAUAGAGCUUUCCUUUCGGGGAUAAAUGACAGGUGGUGCAUGGUGUCGUCAUGCUCGUGUUCGUGAAAUGUUUGGUAAAGCCCCGCAACUCGAGCGCACCCUUAUUGUUAGUUGCCUUCAUUUAUGGGCAAUUCAAAGAGACUGCCCAUGACGAACCGGAAGGAAAGGGGGGAUGACGUCAAAUUCUCCUGCCCCCUAUGACGUGGGGUACCCCCCUCUUACAAAGGGAACUUCAAAGAGUCACCUGCCCGGGAGGUCCAACAAAUCUUCUAAAAUUCUUUCAGUUCGGGAUGCAGGUUGCAACUUGCAUUCCUGAAGCUGGAAUCGCUAGUAAUCGCGGAUCAGCACGCCCCCGUUGAUACGUUUCCGGGCCUUUACCCACCCCCCGUCACACCACGAGAAUUGGUAACCCCAGAAG
rnacentral:rRNA from 1 species